rnacentral:rRNA from 1 species
CCUACGGGAGGCAGCAGUGAGGAAUAUUGGUCAAUGGGCGCAAGCCUGAACCAGCCAAGUCGCGUGAGGGAUGACGGUCCUAUGGAUUGUAAACCUCUUUUGUCGGGGAGCAAGGCCCGCCACGUGUGGCGGGAAGGAGAGUACCCGAAGACAAAGCAUCGGCUAACUCCGUGCCAGCAGCCGCGGUAAUACGGAGGAGGCGAGCGUUAUCCGGAUUUAUUGGGGUUAAGGGGUGCGUAGGCGGAAGGUUAAGUCAGCGGUAAAAUGUCGGUGCUCAACACCGGCCUGCCGUUGAAACUGGUCUUCUUGAGUGAGCGAGAGGUAUGCGGAAUGCGUGGUGUAGCGGUGAAAUGCAUAGAGAUCACGAAGAACUCCGAUUGCGAAGGCAGCAUACCGGCGCUCAACUGACGCUGAGGCACGAAAGCGUGGGGAUCGAACAGGAUUAGAUACCCGAGUAGUC